GCAUCUACACAGCUGCUACAAACCCAAGCCAGAAGAUUCCUCAAAAACCCAGAUAACAACUCUAUGGAACAGGCCCUAAGGGACCUGACUUGAAAAGAUGCCCACCUUGAUCUACUGCUUAGUAACAGAGUGGAUCUUGUGGAAAAGUGUCAGCAAAACCUCAACUCUGGACAUAAGAACAGCAGACUUCAGGCUGCUCAGGGAAUUAAUGACAGACCAAGGGAGUCUCAGUGCCCUGAGCUGGAGGACCAUGACUGCAGGAAUUAUUAACUCCCAGCUGACCCUGAAAAUGUGAAGGAUCUGCUGUUCCAGCUGGACGCUUCCAAGUCCAUGGGGCCUGAUGAAUUCAUCCAAGAAUCCUUAAAGCACUAGUUGAUGUCAUCCCAAAGCCUCUCUUGAUAAUUUUUGAACAGUCUCAGGAAUCUACAGUGGUCCCAGCUGACUGAAAGCUGACAAAGGUUGUCCCAGUUUUCAAGAAGAGCAAGAAGGAGGAACCUGGCAACUACAUGCCACAUACAGUCUCACUUCAGUACCUGGUAAAAUCAUGGAAAAUACUUUUCUGAGAGGGGCAGAAAAACACCUGGAGGACAGUGCAGUCAUUAGCCACAGCUAACACAACUUCAUGAAUGGAAAGUCCUGCUUGUCAAACCUGAUUUCCUUCUAUGACAGAAUAGCCCACCUAGCUGAUCUAAGAAAGCCAGUUGAAGUAAUCUUGUUGGGUUUCAGCAAAGAGCUUGAUACUGUCUCCUGCAGUAUCCUUCUGGACAAAACGUCCAGCACACAACUGGAUAACCAAGUUACAUGGUAGGGGAGCAAGAGGCUCACAGGUCAGCACAGAGGGUUGUGGUGAAUGGAGUGAUAUCAAACUGGCAACCAGACACUGGUG